CCUACGGGAGGCAGCAGUGAGGAAUAUUGGUCAAUGGACGCAAGUCUGAACCAGCCAAGCCGCGUGCAGGAAGACGGUCCUAUGAGUUGUAAACCGCUUUUGUCCGAGGGCAAAUCCCGCUACGCGUAUCGUUCCGAAAGUAUCCUACGAAUAAGCAUCGGCUAACUCCGUGCCAGCAGCCGCGGUAAUACGGAGGAUCCGAGCGUUAUCCGGAUUUAUUGGGUUUAAAGGAGGCGAAGGCGGACGCUAAAGUCAGUGGUAAAAUUGUGGGGCUCAACCUAAUCGAGCAGUUGAUACUGGUUGUCUUGAGUGAGGGAGAGGUAGGCGGAAUGCGUGGUGUAGCGGUGAAAUGCAGAGAUAUCACGAAGAACUCCGAGUGCGAAGGCAGCAUACCGGAGUGUAACUGACGCUGAUACACGAAAGUGGGGGUAUCGAACAGGAUUAGAUACCCUGGUAGUC
rnacentral:rRNA from 1 species